UACAGGAUUCCCCUAGUAACUGCGAGUGAGCGGGAAGAGCUCAAUUUGAAAUCUGGCGGCUCCGCCGUCCGAGUUGUAACCUGGAGAAGCGUUUUCCGUGCCGGACCGCAUACAAGUCCUCUGGAACGGGGCGUCAUAGAGGGUGAGAAUCCCGUCUUUGAUGCGGACUGCCGGUGCUCUGUGAUGCGCUCUCGAAGAGUCGAGUUGUUUGGGAAUGCAGCUCAAAAUGGGUGGUGAAUUCCAUCUAAAGCUAAAUAUUGGCGAGAGACCGAUAGCGAACAAGUACCGUGAGGGAAAGAUGAAAAGCACUUUGGAAAGAGAGUAAAACAGUACGUGAAAUUGUUGAAAGGGAAACGCUUGACGUCAGUCGCGUCGUCCGGAACUCAGCCCUGCUUCUGCUCGGUGUACUUUCCGGUUCGACGGGCCAGCAUCGGUUUCGGUGGACGGACAAAGGCAAGGGGAAGGUGGCAGCUCCGGCUGUGUUAUAGCCCCUUGUUGUACGCGUCCGCUGGGACCGAGGAAUCCGGCGCUCGUCGCCUGGGAUGCUGGCGUAAUGGCUUUAAGCGACCCGUCUUGAAACACGGACCAAGGAGUGCUACAUGCUCGCGAGUGUUUGGGUGGAAAACCCGAGCGCGAAAUGAAAGUGAAAGUCGAGACCCUUUGCGGGGGCACCGACGCCCGAGCCUGACGUUUUCUGACGGCCUUGCGGUAGAGCGAGUAUGUUGCGACCCGAAAGAUGGUGAAC
rnacentral:rRNA from 1 species